AGGACGAACGCUGGCGGCGUGCUUAACACAUGCAAGUCGAGCGGAAAGGCCCUUCGGGGUACUCGAGCGGCGAACGGGUGAGUAACACGUGAGUAACCUGCCCCUAGCUCUGGGAUAGCUCCGGGAAACCGGGAUUAAUACCAGAUACGACCACGGCCGACAUCUGCUGUGGUGGAAAGGAUUCCGGCUAAGGAUGGGCUCGCGGCCUAUCAGCUAGUUGGUGGAGUAACGGCCCACCAAGGCGACGACGGGUAGCCGGCCUGAGAGGGCGACGGCCACGACUGGGACUGAGACACGGCCCAGACUCCUACGGGAGGCAGCAGUGGGGAAUAUUGCGCAAUGGGCGAAAGCCUGACGCAGCGACGCCGCGUGGGGGAUGAAGGCCUUCGGGUUGUAAACCCGUUUCAGCAGGGACGAAGCGAAAGUGACGGUACCUGCAGAAGAAGCGCCGGCUAACUACGUGCCAGCAGCCGC
rnacentral:rRNA from 1 species